CCGGAGCCUGCGCGGGCCGCGCGCCCCGGCGCUCCCGGCGCCGUCGACAGCCACCGCAUGUCGGGACAUGUGCGGGCCGCGUGCUCCGGA
rnacentral:tRNA from 1 species